rnacentral:rRNA from 1 species
UACGUAGGGUGCAAGCGUUGUCCGGAAUUAUUGGGCGUAAAGAGCUCGUAGGCGGUUUGUCGCGUCUGCUGUGAAAACCCGAGGCUCAACCUCGGGCCUGCAGUGGGUACGGGCAGACUAGAGUGUGGUAGGGGAGACUGGAAUUCCUGGUGUAGCGGUGAAAUGCGCAGAUAUCAGGAGGAACACCGGUGGCGAAGGCGGUUCUCUGGGCCUUACCUGACGCUGGAGGAG